GUUACUGAUUGCACAAGGUUGGAAUUCCUGUUGGUAAUUAUAAGGCAUUUGAUUUGAUUAAGCUAGUUACUUGCUAUUGAUUGCUGGUUAAUUAGCUAUUGUUUGCAAAUAAGCAGAGGCCUACCCAGGUGUUAAACAUUCCUAGUGGGUGGUGAUUUUAGGAGUUAUAUAAGGCUUGGCGUCAUUAGCUUGUCUAAUAUAGCUUGGUGCUACUUCUAAGUGCUGUUUCUAAGUGUGUAGUUGGAGAUAUUCUGGAGGUAAUCUGAGGUAUUCAGGAGGAUAAAUAUAAAGUUAAGAUUUGUUAGUUUUAAAUUAUUCUCCUAAUUGGAAUGGCAGAC